rnacentral:rRNA from 1 species
AUACGGAGGAUCCGAGCGUUAUCCGGAUUUAUUGGGUUUAAAGGGUGCGCAGGCGGGAGAUUAAGUCGGCGGUGAAAUUUUGCAGCUCAACUGUAAAAGUGCCUUCGAAACUGGUUUCCUUGAGUGUAGAUGAAGUAGGCGGAAUUUGUGGUGUAGCGGUGAAAUGCGUAGAUAUCACGAGGAACUCCGAUUGCGCAGGCAGCUUACUAAACUACUACUGACGCUCAGGCACGAAGGCGUGGGGAUCAAACAGGAUUAGAUACCCUGGUAGUCCACGCAGUAAACGAUGAUUACUAGCUGUUUGCGAUACAAUGUAAGCGGCUGAGCGAAAGCGUUAAGUAAUCCACCUGGGGAGUACGUUCGCAAGAAUGAAACUCAAAUGAAUUGACGGGG